ACUCCAGUUUAACGCUUAUUGGAUCGUUCACGACUUCUGAUGGGAUAAGCCGAAUAGUCUUAAAACGCAAAUGGAGUGCGUGUGUUCAUUAGAAGAAGGCUUGUUUAUCAUCAUCUUUCGCAACUAUUGGGUAACCUUACUCAGAUUAUCCUCCGACUGGGAUAUUUUGGAUAAAACUUUAUACCUAUUAUGCCAUUGUAAAUAAAAAAAUAAUUAUACAUUUUCGACGAUAUUCAUGUAGUUACUAGAAGUAUAAAAAUCUCCAACUAAUAUUUUGUUUGUUCCUUCUCAACGCUACAAAGUUUUACGAUUAUUUUUAACGUUGACAUGGCCGGGCUUCGCAGCGCCACAGCCCCAAACGCAACGGGUUACAUGUGAAGAAUUUUUCAAUUGCUGAAUCGAUCACGAUAACUAGAGAAUAAUCGGAGAACCUAACCCAAUUAAUAAGAAAAAGGUAUAAGGAAAGGCUAAAAAGAGAAAAAGAUACUUUGAUCACAGAUAAGAAUAUCCAUCUGGAAAAGAGGGAAUUUUAAGGAGAUUCCGGGUGCGAAGGACCGCAUGGCGAUUACGGGAAUCGACGCGAGAAAUGGAUUUCAUAUGAAACCUUCGGGAUAUGUAGGGUCCAUAUUUCAUAGGGCAUUACUAGGAGCUCAAAACCAAGUAGAAUUCAUUUUAUAAGCUUUUAUUUACUAUAAUUUUUUACCUGUGAAGACUUUUGAUUGGUUUUGUCUCAUACUCUUAUAUUUUCUAUAUAUUUGUUACUUAGCUGUAAGUCAUCGUAAUAAAUAAAUUUAACUUGCAAUAAAUGCUUAAAUGCAUAAUUAUGUAUGAAGUGACUAAGUUUGUUUGGAGCUAAAAUUAUCAUAGUUUUAAUGACAAUGCAUUGUUGUAAUUUGGUGAACCCAAGAUUGACUCUAGAUUAUUUUGGGUUGGUGGUUUAUAUAUUAUAUAUUUUUUGCCACGUAUACAUUCUUGUAAUAAGAUCUUUCUGACGACAAUAAAAUCUUGUGUUAAUAAUUUUGUUAAAUACUUAUUAUGCCAUCAUUGUGCUACGGAAAACCAAAAUAUGUAUAAUUAGUAUAUUUAAUGAAAAAUUAAUUGUUACUUAUUUGAAGUUAAUUUGUAAGUUGAAACAAAACUGCACUAUAUUGUUUAAAAAUAAUAUUUUUACGGAAACUAUCAGUUUUAUAUGUUAGAUACACGUAUAUAAUGUUUAACAUGUAACCUAUAUAAUUUCUGAUGAGACUAAUUGAUAAUCCAAACUAAUUUAUUAUGGAAAUAUAUUUUUUACUAUAAUGUGAACAAGCGAAAAUGGUCAAUAUUCCAUUUGUCUAUCAGAUUCUGGGUCAGUAAAGUCGAGUUGAGUGAAGGAAGCUGGUUGAGAGAAACGUGGCAUACCAUAUUUCUAUAAAUUAUUGGAUACGAACUAUUGAACGGGAAAUCAGUAUUUCUUUGUUGCUAACUUUAUAGUUCCAAAUAAAGACAAAAUCAAACGCAAUUUAUCAUUUUAAAAUUGAAUUAUUUGUUAUUAUAAAAUAUUAUUUAAUUGUAUGUUAGUUGUUAAUAUUUGGCACAGUAAACAGGUUAUAAGACUCAUUUUAUAACUUAGAUAAAAUUAAAAAUACUUGUCUGAUCAUGAUCUGAGCAUAUCAAUAUCAAGUUGUCCUGUAUGAACGUUAAUAGCACGGCAAUAGGGGUGAAAUUUGGAAAGGAAUUUUGGAGGUGGAAGUUGACUGUACACGGCAUAAAAUAAAAGUCUGUAGAUUCAAUUUAAGUAAAUAUUGGCAAAUUCCACGUCCUUCAGAGGAACAUCACAGUGGAGCAAAUUGUUUGUAUAAUUGAAUAGACGUGACUUGAUUCUAGAGUAUUGACUGUUUCUGUCUGCAAAUCUUGUUUUUUGGCGCGAAAAUCUUAUUUGUUCCUUUUUUCCCAAUUCACUUAUUCUUUGUGUUGUAAAUCUAAAAGUGGAUGAGAAAAAAAUCUAAUUCAUACUAGUACUUACAUAAAAAUACCAUGAUAAUUUAUUGAAACAUCUUAGACAGUGCUGGAAUUUAAAGAUUUUCAUCAAAA